rnacentral:rRNA from 1 species
CCUACGGGCGGCAGCAGUGAGGAAUAUUGGUCAAUGGACGAGAGUCUGAACCAGCCAAGUAGCGUGAAGGAUGACUGCCCUAUGGGUUGUAAACUUCUUUUAUAUGGGAAUAAAAUGUUCCACGUGUGGGAUUUUGUAUGUACCAUAUGAAUAAGGAUCGGCUAACUCCGUGCCAGCAGCCGCGGUAAUACGGAGGAUCCGAGCGUUAUCCGGAUUUAUUGGGUUUAAGGGGAGCGUAGGUGGUUUGUUAAGUCAGUUGUGAAAGUUUGCGGCUCAACCGUAAAAUUGCAGUUGAAACUGGCAGUCUUGAGUACAGUAGAGGUGAGCGGAAUUCGUGGUGUAGCGGUGAAAUGCUUAGAUAUCACGAAGAACUCCGAUUGCGAAGGCAGCUCACUGGACUGCAACUGACACUGAGGCUCGAAAGUGUGGGUAGCAAACAGGAUUAGAUACCCCAGUAGUC